rnacentral:lncRNA from 1 species
CUCAAAGAGUAAGUAUUAAAUUAAGUAAGAUGUUUCAUUGAACACAGAACUCAUGUUUAGUUUUACUUUUUCUUUUUUUGUAGUUUUUAUCAAGCACAUAUACGAUGAUGGAUGGAAAUCAGGAAUUUGAGAUUAAUAUAGAAUAUACAGGAAAUACUAGACAGACAACAAGCAUCUACCACCAUAAUUUUAUUUCACACAUCUCAUAAAAUAUAUAUUUGUGUGAG